rnacentral:rRNA from 1 species
AAUCAACGCUGGCGGCGUGCCUCAGACAUGCAAGUCGAACGCGAAAGUCCCCUUCGGGGGGCAAGUAGAGUGGCGCACGGGUGAGUAACACGUAGGUAAUCUACCUUCGGAGUGGGGAAGUAACAAUCGGAAACGGUUGCUAAUACCGCAUAAUGCAGCGGCACCUAAUGGUGACAGUUGUUAAAGCGGGGGAGUCGCAAGAUCUCGCGCCUGAAGAGGAGCCUGCGGCGGAUUAGCUAGUUGGUAGGGUAAUGGCCUACCAAGGCGACGAUCCGUAGCCGGCCUGAGAGGGCGGUCGGCCACACUGACACUGACAUACGGGUCAGACUCCUACGGGAGGCAGCAGUCGGGAAUUUUGGGCAAUGGGCGAAAGCCUGACCAGCAACGCCGCGUGAAGGAUGAAAUCCC